rnacentral:rRNA from 1 species
AGUGAACGCUGGCGGUAGGCCUAACACAUGCAAGUCGAACGGCAGCACAGUAAGAGCUUGCUCUUACGGGUGGCGAGUGGCGGACGGGUGAGGAAUACAUCGGAAUCUACUUUUUCGUGGGGGAUAACGUAGGGAAACUUACGCUAAUACCGCAUACGACCUACGGGUGAAAGCAGGGGAUCUUCGGACCUUGCGCGAUUGAAUGAGCCGAUGUCGGAUUAGCUAGUUGGCUGGGUAAAUGCCCACCAAGGCGACGAUCCGUAGCUGGUCUGAGAGGAUGAUCGGCCACACUGGAACUGAGACACGGUCCAGACUCCUACGGGAGGCAGCAGUGGGGAAUGUUGGACAAUGGGCGCAAGCCUGAUCCAGCCAUACCGCGUGGGUGAAGAAGGCCUUCGGGUUGUAAAGCCCUUUUGUUGGGAAAGAAAAGCAGCAGGUUAAUACCCCGCUGUUCUGACGGUACCCAAAGAAUAAGCACCGGCUAACUUCGUG